AGAUUGAACGCUGGCGGCAUGCCUUACACAUGCAAGUCGAACGGCAGCACGGGAGCAAUCCUGGUGGCGAGUGGCGAACGGGUGAGUAAUACAUCGGAACGUGCCCAAUCGUGGGGGAUAACGCAGCGAAAGCUGUGCUAAUACCGCAUAAGAUCUACGGAUGAAAGCAGGGGAUCGCAAGACCUUGCGCGAAUGGAGCGGCCGAUGGCAGAUUAGGUAGUUGGUGAGGUAAAGGCGUCACCAAGCCUUCGAUCUGUAGCUGGUCUGAGAGGACGACCAGCCACACUGGGACUGAGACACGGCCCAGACUCCUACGGGAGGCAGCAGUGGGGAAUUUUGGACAAUGGGCGAAAGCCUGAUCCAGCCAUGCCGCGUGCAGGAUGAA
rnacentral:rRNA from 1 species